rnacentral:tRNA from 1 species
CGGCGUCAUGGUCGACCGCUACGGGCCGCGGCUGCUGAUUGCGGCCGGUGCGGCGCUCAUGUUUGCCGGCCAGUUCCAGCUGGCCGCCGCCGA